AGAAAAAAAAACACUAUUGGUCGGGUACACCACCCACUUCUAUUCGUUCAUCGACCAUCCACAACUGCUCCGUAUCUCUCCGGAACUUCAGAAAGAUGGAUGAUGUUAAAACUGCUUCAAAAAAUCAACUCUUCAGUUGUGGACACUCUUCAGGUAUGCGUCUUUUUUUUUUUAAUUUGGGGUUUUUCUCUCUCUGGGCAAUUUUUUUUUUCUGUUUGAAUUUGAUAAUUUACUGCAGGCGUACUUGGAGAGUGCUUAUGAGUUAUGAUUGCUUUAAUAGGAGAAGAAAGGUUGAGGAGAUUACCAAUUGUAUUGAACAUUGUAGUAUUCCUGUUAUGAAUGCUAAUCAAUUCGUCGGGACUGAUAUGGAUAAAUUUCUCAGAUCUUUUGGUUUGGCUCAUACUCUUCGUGGAUUUUGUGUGAAAAUUUAAAAUUUACACAAAUUUUGUAGAAGUUUUGAAUUUUUUUAUGUAAGAAUUUUUUUUUAUCAAUUCUUUUGUUUUAAAUUGGAAAAUGAAAUUCAAUAAAUAUCAUUCACCUGAAGCUUUUAUUUCGUAGUUGAUUGUAUCCCUCAUUUCUUUAGGUCUUCUGCGAUAUUGGUUACUAUGUUGUAACCCUAAAGAGUUUUGGUUAGACGAGAAGCAAAAACCCGUGCAUCAUGAAGAUUAAUAGUGUUAGCAUAACACAAGUUGUUGCGUGGGUGGGAUUCAAAUAUUACGCCGUUAUCAAAUAUAGAACGAGAACUCACAUGAUGAUUGGUUGUUCUAACCUACAGCUGCAUAGACCUGCAAAUCAGGAUAAGAUGAAGUUAUGCGAUAAAUGAAAAAUUAGAUCAUGGUUACCAAUUGUAAACAUGAGUUUGCAGGUAUUAUCAAAUGGAUUGCAUAAUCCAAGUCUUUCCACAAGCAUGCCCCUUGCAGACCCUGGAUACUUUCAUGGAUUCCUACCCUGAACUUCAGAUCCGUGCGUGUUAUCUAUGAUGCUUCAAAAGUUGCAACUGAGAGAUUCUCACGAUUGGGUCGAUAUCAUUAAUCAUUUUGCAAAACAUAUAAGUUGAGGAAGGAUUUGAAUGUCGAAGAUGAUAUUUUGUCUGUGGAUCCUCCAUUCCCAAGAGGAGUUGUUCUUAGCAUUCUCUGUGAUUUAAGGAUCAGUUUGGGGAACUCCACAAACAAGAAUUUUCACAGCUCUUAUGAAGUAUGACUUUGACUGUAGGUUGGCGUUCUAUUUUCUUUUUGGGAUCAGAAAAGACAUAUUUGGGUGCAUUAUACAUAUAUUGCCUCAAGGGUUUCCAGGGACAAUUUAUCCCUGCAUCUCAUAUCUUUCCAUCAUCGACAAAUAUCUCAAAGAGCACCCCUGCGUUAAGCAAGAGUGAAAGACAAAUAUAUUUAUGGGCUGAUGAACUGCAAGAAGCUCUAUGUUGCUGUGCAAAAUGAAUGCCAUUCAUUACGAGUAGCUGCACUGGUCAUUUUCUUUCAACAGAUUAGAAAUUCAAAAGCUUCCAGUAUUGUAGUAAAACCUGAUAUCUGUGGACAUCAUCGGACUUUACUUCCCAAAGAGAGUGGUGUUCUCAUGGAAGCUCCAGAACUGCAACGACUAACACAAAAGAAGAUUGGGAUUCAGUUCUGACAGUUAAUGCGCUCAAUGUAACUUAAGGGCAGCUACAAGAACUGUAAAAACUGAUGAUAAAAUUGAAAAAUCUCUUGAAACGGAUGAUGCUGGGAAGGUUUGGGAAUACUUGAGAAAAUAUUUACGAAGUUAUGGUCAAGCAAAGACAAGAUGAUAGUGUUACAAUCUGAAACAUAGCAGUGAUACUUGGAACCUUUAGUUUAAUGAGUACUUCUUGAAGUGGUGAAGUGCAGGAGCUAGCCAUGGGAGGUACCUGAGAUUACUGCAUUGUACUCCUUGUCUGAGAACACAAAUGCUAAUUGGGUUUGGUACUUACUUAGUACUUGAAUAUCUCAAAGAAAUGAAGAUUCUCUCCAGGUUUUGAUUUCGUUCUUUCAUUGAAAAUCUUACUGGUGGGUAGUCUAAGGAGGCAAGUUUGAAAACUCAUUACAUACAAUAACUUCAGCCAUUUUAACUUUGCAAUUUGUGAUGAUAUAUGUUACUGAUCAGUCAUGUAUGGUUACCACUAGUCUAUUGGACUUCUUUGUUUUAAAAAAAAAGUGGGAAUGUUAUAAAUGGAUUUGUGAGAUUUGAAAUGAAAUAAAAGCAAAAAAAAAAAAAAAAA